rnacentral:lncRNA from 10 species
UUUGUUUUAAUCACUGAGAACUUCCGGAGAAAAGAAGAAAGGUCUUCAUGGAUCUGAUGCCUACAUGCUAUCUGCCUGGGUGCCACUGGAGCUCUGAAUUUUACAUACCAGGAGAAGAUUAGGACACCUAGAGAGACACUAGGGGUUCCUUUGCACAGAAGAAAGGCCACAUGAAGAUGGGGACACAGCAAGAAGGCAGCGGCAGCAAGCAAAGGAGAGAGGCCUCUGAGGAAACCAACCCUGCCAAACACCUGCUGCUUGGACUUCUAGCGUCCAGAACUGUGGACUCUUAUCAAUACCGAACAUUGAAAUCUGGAGGCUCGGCCAUCAGAACUCUUACACAGCACAGAAGACGAGUUUCACGGGUCACUCAGCAUCUACUGGAAGGGGUGCACAUGCACCAAGGGAAAGCCACGUGAAGACAUAAUGAGACAGCAGCCAUCUGCAAACCAAAACGGAAGCCCUUACCAG